rnacentral:rRNA from 1 species
GUGGGGAAUAUUGGACAAUGGGCGAAAGCCUGAUCCAGCCAUGCCGCGUGUGUGAAGAAGGUCUUCGGAUUGUAAAGCACUUUAAGUUGGGAGGAAGGGCAUUAACCUAAUACGUUAGUGUUUUGACGUUACCGACAGAAUAAGCACCGGCUAACUUCGUGCCAGCAGCCGCGGUAAUACGAAGGGUGCAAGCGUUAAUCGGAAUUACUGGGCGUAAAGCGCGCGUAGGUGGUUUUGUAAGUUGGAGGUGAAAUCCCCGGGCUCAACCUGGGAACUGCCUCCAAAACUGCAUGACUAGAGUACGGUAGAGGGUAGUGGAAUUUCCUGUGUAGCGGUGAAAUGCGUAGAUAUAGGAAGGAACACCAGUGGCGAAGGCGACUACCUGGACUGAUACUGACACUGAGGUGCGAAAGCGUGGGGAGCAAACAGGAUUAGAAACCCUUGUAGUCC